rnacentral:rRNA from 1 species
CCUUGACAUCCAGAGAACUUAGCAGAGAUGCUUUGGUGCCCUCGGGAACUCUGAGACAGGUGCCGCAUGGCUGUCGUCAGCUCGUGUUGUGAAAUGUUGGGUUAAGUCCCGCAACGAGCGCAACCCUUAUCCUUUGUUGCCAGCGGCUCGGCCGGGAACUCAAAGGAGACUGCCGGUGAUAAACCGGAGGAAGGUGGGGAUGACGUCAAGUCAUCAUGGCCCUUACGGCCAGGGCUACACACGUGCUACAAUGGCGCAUACAAAGAGAAGCGACCUCGCGAGAGCAAGCGGACCUCGUAAAGUGCGUCGUAGUCCGGAUUGGAGUCUGCAACUCGACUCCAUGAAGUCGGAAUCGCUAGUAAUCGUAGAUCAGAAUGCUACGGUGAAUACGUUCCCGGGCCUUGUACACACCGCCCGUCACACCAUGGGAGUGGGUUGCAAAAGAAGUAGGUAGCUUAACCUUCGGGAGGGCGCUUACCACUUUGUGAUUCAUGACUGGGGUGAAGUCGUAACAAGGUAAGCGUAGCGAG